CUCAUUGUUUAUUGUUCUUUCUAAAGAUGAAAAAUCAUGCAAAUCAGGGUGCAGAUUCUGACUGGAGCUCUGCAACCAUGCACACAUGUGAGAGGGGACAUGUUUGUCCAUACUGCAUGCAUGUCUAAGGAUACAUGCAGUUUUUGCAGCCUUGAUUUUUACAGCUAGCUGAAAGCACGUUGGAACUGAAAAUUGUCGUCCCUACUGGUGGGACUGGUAGCCCUUGCUGUGUAGAAAAAUUGCUCUGUGUGAGAAGCACAUGGGUGACCUGAGUAUGCUGGCACUAGGAUGCCGGAAUCUGUGAAGACCUGUCUGCAUUGCCGUUUCUUUUUCAGUAGCUAUAAGAUGCAGGCACUCUCACUCCUGAGACACUGAGUGUGGACACUGAAAGAAAAUGCCCCUCUGUGCUCAGCAGUGCCCCAGCCACGAGACAGCCAGCAUGUGAAUGAGGAUACAACUUUCCCUCAGCCAGAAGCCCAGCUCUCUUCCAAGUGUCGACAGCUACAGACAUCAACCAUGGAAACCUCUCGCUCCCCUUCACCCCAAUUUGCCCCACAGAAGCUGACAGAUAAGCCUCCCCUGCUUAUCCAUGAAGACAACUCAGCAAGAAUUGAGCGGGUGAUGGACAACAACACCACUGUGAAGAUGGUGCCCAUAAAAAUUGUACACUCAGAAAGCCAGCCCGAGAAGGAGAGCCGCCAGAGUCUCGCAUGCCCAGCCGAGCUGCCUGCCCUGCCCAGUGGGCUGGAGAGGGACCAGAUCAAGACAUUGAGUACAUCGGAGCAGUGCUACUCCCCGCUUCUGUGUGUACACACGACAGGAGGUGGAAGCCCCUUAUAGAGCCCGCCCUCCAGAGCCCCGGCCUCCCAGCACCCCUGCACCUCCUGUCAGAGAUAGCUGUUCUUCCCCUCCCUCACUCAACUAUGGGAAGGCCAAGGAGAAGACUGAGGAUGACUUGAAGUCUGAAGAAUUAGCCAGAGAGAUUGUGGGAAAGGACAAGUCAUUGGCUGACAUCUUGGACCCCAGUGUGAAGAUCAAAACCACCAUGGAUCUGAUGGAGGGAAUUUUCCCCAAAGACGAGUACCUUCUGGAGGAAGCUCAGCAGCGGAGGAAGCUGCUUCCCAAAGUCCCCUCACCUAGAGUCACAGAGGACAAGUGAGUAGAUGGCACAUAACAUGGGGUGCUUGUUCCUCAUUCCCUAUCUUGUAGGCUUAGAAGUGAAAGAAGGGACUUAGGGGUAUAUUGAUAUUCAUGAUUGCUUCUAGGGGGAGGUGAUGGUUUUUUUGGGGGGUCCCCAGUACUUAGCACUUUUUGGUAAGUUUUUAAAUUAUCAUACCUGGAUUUGAUUGUAUGGGACUUAGCAGAGGUAAGAUGAUGCCCACUGCAGCUGUUAAUGUCCUUAGCUUACAACUGGCAUGAUUAUGGCAGUAUCCACAUAUCCAUCCUCUCUAGGGACCUUUAGGAGUGUAAUUUGGUAGGUUUCUCUGUUACACUGGAGAAUGGAGCACUCCUGACAUCUAGUGGAUAGGUAGCAGAUACUACUAAAGAUCUUAUAGUGUAUUAGACAGCCCCCAGAUACUCUCAGUGCUGGCCUGAGAAACCCUCUGUUAGUGUGAGGCUAACUGUCCACCCACUCACCUGUGUUGUGUCCAUCAUCUAAUCUCUAUUUUCAAUAUGUAUUUCACAUGCCUGUCCAUCUAUCUAUCUAUCUGUUUUUGAAGUAGAGUCUCUCUGUGAAACUUGGGCUCCCUUGAUCUUGGUCCUUCUACUUCAGCUUCCCAAAUGCUAGGGUUAUAGGAAUAUGCCAGCACACCUGCCUAUCUCCCUCCUACCCACUUCUUGAUAAUGUUGAACUAGAAUCCAGGUCCUCAUAUAUAUUAGGCAAAGUUGUCAUCACUAAGCUAUAAGCCUUA